rnacentral:rRNA from 1 species
UACGUAUGGGGCAAGCGUUAUCCGGAUUUACUGGGUGUAAAGGGAGCGCAGGCGGCCUGGCAAGCCUGAUGUGAAAUACCGGGGCCCAACCCCGGGGCUGCAUUGGGAACUGCCAGGCUGGAGUGCCGGAGAGGCAGGCGGAAUUCCUAGUGUAGCGGUGAAAUGCGUAGAUAUUAGGAGGAACACCAGUGGCGAAGGCGGCCUGCCGGACGGUGACUGACGCUGAGGCUCGAAAGCGUGGGGAGCAAACAGG